rnacentral:rRNA from 1 species
CCUACGGGAGGCUGCAGUGAGGAAUAUUGGUCAAUGGACGAGAGUCUGAACCAGCCAAGUAGCGUGAAGGAUGACUGCCCUAUGGGUUGUAAACUUCUUUUAUAUGGGAAUAAAACGUUCCACGUGUGGGAUUUUGUAUGUACCAUAUGAAUAAGGAUCGGCUAACUCCGUGCCAGCAGCCGCGGUAAUACGGAGGAUCCGAGCGUUAUCCGGAUUUAUUGGGUUUAAUGGGAGCGUAGGUGGAUUGUUAAGUCAGUUGUGAAAGUUUGCGGCUCAACCGUAAAAUUGCAGUUGAAACUGGCAGUCUUGAGUACAGUAGAGGUGGGCGGAAUUCGUGGUGUAGCGGUGAAAUGCUUAGAUAUCACGAAGAACUCCGAUUGCGAAGGCAGUUCACUGGACUGCAACUGACACUGAGGCUCGAAAGUGUGGGUAUCAAACAGGAUUAGAUACCCUAGUAGUC